UCACUCACUAUUACCUGACAAAGAUCUGCUCCGGAUUGUGGACUUUGUGAACAUUUCAAUUUGAUAUUGAAAAGCCCAUUUGGUGUACAUUUUGCAUUAUAUCUUAAUCAAAUAUGCCCGAAUCACUCU